CUUGAUUAUAAAGUUAACGGAUG
rnacentral:siRNA from 1 species